GACGAACGCUGGCGGCGUGCUUAACACAUGCAAGUCGAACGGAAAGGCCCUGCUUUUGUGGGGUGCUCGAGUGGCGAACGGGUGAGUAACACGUGAGUAACCUGCCCUUGACUUUGGGAUAACUUCAGGAAACUGGGGCUAAUCCCGGAUAGGAUCUCACGCUGCAUGGUGGGGGUUGGAACGUUUCGGCGGUUGGGGAUGGAUGCGCGGCUUAUCAGUUUGUUGGUGGGGGAGUGGCUUACCAACGAUGUGACGGGUAGGCGGCAUGAGAGGGUGACCGGCCACAUUGGGACUGAGAUACGGAGCAGACUCCUACGGGAGACAGCAGUGGGGAAUAUUGCACAAUGGGCGGGAGCCUGAUGCAGCGGCGCCGGGUGCGGGAUGACGGCCUUCGGGGUGUAAAACGCUGUCGCCUGUGACGAAGCGGGAGUGACGGUAAUGGGUAAAGAAGCACCGGCUAACUACGUG
rnacentral:rRNA from 1 species